rnacentral:lncRNA from 1 species
CGGGACCGGCCAAAAGCGGCUUGCCGUUUUGGCGAAAUCAAAUCUCCCUCCUCAUUCGAUGCUCAGACAAGGCUUUGGGCGUUAUUUUUGGCCACUGCCUUGGAGGGAGUAAAAAUGGCGAAGAGGCGAGACAGUGGAGUCGUGCGGAGUUUGGUUCGACGAUAAGCCCGCGGCUAUACAUCCAUUCAAAUUGACCAAUUCAGCAGCUUCGACUAAGUUCGCCAAUCUAUCGCUAUUUCCGUCCUCUUCUUCAUCGCAAUUCCCUCCAUCUCCUUAUCCAAAUACAUACAGUACGGAAUCACAUGCACAGCAGAAGCCUUGAUCAAAACUGAUUUGAAUUUCCAAGAAAUCGUCGGUCUAAAUGGAUCCUUCCUUGAUCAUUUUCGCUUGUGUUGUAUCCCAAGAUUUGAUUUGAAGAACUCAACUGAAGUUGGUGAUGGUUGUGCCAUAUUUAAAAACUAAGAGCUGCUUUUAUGUUUAGUGCUGUGCUGUAUGAGUUCAUCCUUUUUCUCUCUCUUGCUAGCCAAGGUAUGCUCCAGUAAUUAAAAUGGCUAUCUGAUCCAUUUUGUCUUCAUUGUUUGGGAAGUAGUUAAAAAUGAGGCUUUGGUGAGUGGAUUAAGGAAAUUCCGCUGGCAAGUUUUUUCUUAUGAUCGGUGCAGGGGAUAAUAUUACUCUUUCUGGGAGUAUUCUUUAACAACUUUUGCUUAGUUCAGUUUAAAUUAAUGGAGUUCCUUGGCCAUUUGCCUUAAUCGAUCUGAUUCGAAUUUUUUUUUAUUUAAUCUGCAUUUCAAAAAAAUAUAAAUUAAUGUUUAUUAAAUUUUAUUGAAUAUAUUUAAAAUGAUAUUUUUCAAUUUCACACCACCAUGCUUCUUGCUAUGCUAGGGAGCCAAGAGUGGCACAAUUUGGCCUCUUCCCUCUCCAAACCCAGUUAAAAAGAGUCAAAGAUGGGCUGGGCCUUGCUCUAGGCCCUAGCCUGACCUGACUGUUUGAACCUAUAUAAUUAUCAAAUUUUAUUAUAUGAUACUGACAAAAAACUAUCAUAUGAGAAAAAGGAUUCUAUUUUUAAAUAUUUUACUUUCAAAUUUAAGCGUUAAUUUCACUGAGAACUUUCAAUUGUGAAUCCACCAUCUCUCUCUCUCAAAAAAAAAACAAAAAAAAAAGUAAAAAGCGAGUCCAUCAGCCAGCAAAUGGCCCAACGGCCAGUACUGCUGUACUAAUUGUGUUGACGUACUGUGUGCCAGGGGAACUGAAAAUUUUGCCUUCAUUUCAUAGCCACACAAUCUCGCACGGCACCAGGAAGUGACCAAACCAUCUACAGCCAACAUGAUCAUCAAUUCUCAUCUCACUUCC